rnacentral:lncRNA from 1 species
CAAAUCUGGAACAGCCACACAUGCCAGUUUCAGAAGUAAAAAAGAGGGACAGCUUUGGCUGGUAUCAGGUGGAGCUAGCAGUAGCUCUUAAUAGCUCCUUUAAGUAAGGGGAGGCACAGGAAACGCAAAGGUUUUUGGUGCAGGGUGUGUGUGCUAGAGUGUGAAAUGACUUCUGUUGUGGGAUUCUCUAGCCAGAUAUGAAUUACCUUGUACAGGAAAUCAGUUACACUUAAGUGCAUAAUAGCCAAAAUUGCCAGUGAAUUUUGCUCAAAUGAAUUUACAAACUAAUUUUUCUUUCCUCUGUUGUCUAGGAGUGGUGGUGUGCCUUCAAGGACAGACAAGACUCUUGUUCCUGCACUGCUCCUCAUCUCUGGUCUACAAACCUUGCCAAUGGGAGUGGGAAAACAGAUCAGCCAGGAAUUGGCUCUAUUUAAGAAGUCAUUAUCUGUGUCCAUGGAACGAUGUUGGCAACACCGCCAGUUAUCUGCCAUCCACACCACAUCGGUGCUUCGGGCUCAGCUGCAACGUGAAACUCUGGGUGCACAGAGACAUGUGAGGAGUUUUGUCAGAAGUAGCAAAGCCUUCAGAGCUGGUGGAAGAGGUGAGUGGUCUAACAGCACACCAGCUGCAAAGAGCAAUCCUCUGCUGAACUCAUCAUUCAGGUUCCUGGUUGUGUAACUCACUAUUUGCUCAUUUUGCUAGUGUGGUCAGGAGUCAUUCAGAGCCAAGGAGCCUGACAAACAUCUGCUUUUUCCAGGUCUAUGCUGGAACAGAUUGUCACCCUGAAGCCCCAACAUCUGCUCUGCGCAGAGGAACAGUUGUGGUACUUGCUUGGUGCCAGAGCCUCUUAAAGGCACAUUUCCCUGUGAAGCAGCAGAGCCUGAGUGUGGUAGCAGAAGGGUUUGGGUCAGGUUUUGGAGACAGGUUGACUUCCAGGGAUUUAACAGGGGUUUGCCUCUCAGCUUUUUCUGUGCUGUCUAAAAAAUGAAGUACACAAAUAAAAAGGUUGAAUUUUCUUUUUUGGGGGUUUUU